CUGGCGGCGUGCCUAACACAUGCAAGUCGAACGAUGCAAUUAAAUGAAGUUUUCGGAUGGAAGAGAGUUCAGCUUAGUGGCGAACGGGUGAGUAACACGUGAGCAACCUGCCUUUCAGUGGGGGACAACAUUUGGAAACGAAUGCUAAUACCGCAUAAGACCACAGUGUCGCAUGGCACAGGGGUCAAAGGAUUUAUCCGCUGAAAGAUGGGCUCGCGUCCGAUUAGCUAGAUGGUGAGGUAACGGCCCACCAUGGCGACGAUCGGUAGCCGGACUGAGAGGUUGAACGGCCACAUUGGGACUGAGACACGGCCCAGACUCCUACGGGAGGCAGCAGUGGGGAAUAUUGCACAAUGGGGGAAACCCUGAUGCAGCGACGCCGCGUGGAGGAAGAAGGUCUUCGGAUUGUAAACUCCUGUCCCAGGGGACGAUAAUGACGGUACCCUGGGAGGAAGCACCGGCUAACUACGUGCCAGCAGCCGCGGUAAAACGUAGGGUGCAAGCGUUGUCCGGAAUUACUGGGUGUAAAGGGAGCGCAGGCGGAUUGCCAAGUCGGGAGUGAAAUCUAUGGGCUCAACCCAUAACUUGCUUUCAAAACUGUCAGUCUUGAGUGGUGUAGAGGUAGGCGGAAUUCCCGGUGUAGCGGUGGAAUGCGUAGAUAUCGGGAGGAACACCAGUGGCGAAGGCGGCUUACUGGGCACUAACUGACGCUGAGGCUCGAAAGCAUGGGUAGCAAACAGGAUUAGAUACCCUGGUAGUCCAUGCCGUAAACGAUGAUUACUAGGUGUGGGAGGAUUGACCCCUUCCGUGCCGCAGUUAACACAAUAAGUAAUCCACCUGGGGAGUACGACCGCAAGGUUGAAACUCAAAGGAAUUGACGGGGGCCCGCACAAGCAGUGGAGUAUGUGGUUUAAUUCGAAGCAACGCGAAGAACCUUACCAGGUCUUGACAUCGGAUGCAUACCUAAGAGAUUAGGGAAGUCCUUCGGGACAUCCAGACAGGUGGUGCAUGGUUGUCGUCAGCUCGUGUCGUGAGAUGUUGGGUUAAGUCCCGCAACGAGCGCAACCCUUAUCGUUAGUUGCUACGCAAGAGCACUCUAGCGAGACUGCCGUUGACAAAACGGAGGAAGGUGGGGACGACGUCAAAUCGUCAUGCCCCUUAUGUCCUGGGCUACACACGUAAUACAAUGGCGGUCAACAGAGGGAGGCAAAGCCGCGAGGCAGAGCAAACCCCCAAAAGCCGUCCCAGUUCGGAUCGCAGGCUGCAACCCGCCUGCGUGAAGUCGGAAUCGCUAGUAAUCGCGGAUCAGCAUGCCGCGGUGAAUACGUUCCCGGGCCUUGUACACACCGCCCGUCACACCAUGAGAGUCGGGAACACCCGAAGUCAAUAGCCUAACCGCAAGGAGGGCGCGGCCGAAGGUGGGUUCGA
rnacentral:rRNA from 1 species